rnacentral:rRNA from 1 species
AGUCGAACGGAAAGGCCCUGCUUUUGUGGGGUGCUCGAGUGGCGAACGGGUGAGUAACACGUGAGUAACCUGCCCUUGACUUUGGGAUAACUUCAGGAAACUGGGGCUAAUACCGGAUAGGAGCUCCUGCUGCAUGGUGGGGGUUGGAAAGUUUCGGCGGUUGGGGAUGGACUCGCGGCUUAUCAGCUUGUUGGUGGGGUAGUGGCUUACCAAGGCUUUGACGGGUAGCCGGCCUGAGAGGGUGACCGGCCACAUUGGGACUGAGAUACGGCCCAGACUCCUACGGGAGGCAGCAGUGGGGAAUAUUGCACAAUGGGCGAAAGCCUGAUGCAGCAACGCCGCGUGCGGGAUGACGGCCUUCGGGUUGUAAACCGCUUUCGCCUGUGACGAAGCGUGAGUGACGGUAAUGGGUAAAGAAGCACCGGCUAACUACGUGCCAGCAGCCGCGGUGAUACGUAGGGUGCGAGCGUUGUCCGGAUUUAUUGGGCGUAAAGGGCUCGUAGGUGGUUGAUCGCGUCGGAAGUGUAAUCUUGGGGCUUAACCCUGAGCGUGCUUUCGAUACGGGUUGACUUGAGGAAGGUAGGGGAGAAUGGAAUUCCUGGUGGAGCGGUGGAAUGCGCAGAUAUCAGGAGGAACACCAGUGGCGAAGGCGGUUCUCUGGGCCUUUCCUGACGCUGAGGAGCGAAAGCGUGGGGAGCGAACAGGCUUAGAUACCCUGGUAGUCCACGCUGUAAACGGUGGGUACUAGGUGUGGGGUCCAUUCCACGGGUUCCGUGCCGUAGCUAACGCUUUAAGUACCCCGCCUGGGGAGUACGGCCGCGAGGCUAAAACUCAAAGGAAUUGACGGGGCCCCGCACAAGCGGCGGAGCAUGCGGAUUAAUUCGAUGCAACGCGUAGAACCUUACCUGGGUUUGACAUGGAUCGGGAGUGCUCAGAGAUGGGUGUGCCUCUUUUGGGGUCGGUUCACAGGUGGUGCAUGGCUGUCGUCAGCUCGUGUCGUGAGAUGUUGGGUUAAGUCCCGCAACGAGCGCAACCCUUGUUCACUGUUGCCAGCACGUUAUGGUGGGGACUCAGUGGAGACCGCCGGGGUCGACUCGGAGGAAGGUGGGGAUGACGUCAAGUCAUCAUGCCCCUUAUGUCCAGGGCUUCACGCAUGCUACAAUGGCUGGUACAGAGAGUGGCGAGCCUGUGAGGGUGAGCGAAUCUCGGAAAGCCGGUCUCAGUUCGGAUUGGGGUCUGCAACUCGACCUCAUGAAGUCGGAGUCGCUAGUAAUCGCAGAUCAGCAACGCUGCGGUGAAUACGUUCCCGGGGCUUGUACACACCGCCCGUCAAGUCAUGAAAGUUGGUAACACCCGAAGCCGGUGGCCUAACCGUUGUGGGGAACCGUCGA